ACUAAGUUUCAACAACGGAUCUCUUGGCUCUCGCGUCGAUGAAGAACGCAGCGAAAUGCGAUAAGUAAUGUGAAUUGCAGAAUUCAGUGAAUCAUCGAAUCUUUGAACGCACCUUGCGCUCCUUGGUAUUCCUUGGAGCAUGCCUGUUUGAGUAUCAUGAAAU
rnacentral:rRNA from 1 species